rnacentral:rRNA from 1 species
UGGGCAACCCGGCAACCGGCGAACGGGUGCGUAACACGUGAACAACCUGCCCUGGUGUGGGGGAUAGCCAUGCUAACGCGUGGGUAAUACCGCAUGCGAUCCGCCUUGGGCAUCUGAGGCGGAGGAAAGCCAUGGGCAACUGCGGCGCACGAGGAGGGGUUCGCGGCCUAUCAGCUCGUUGGUGCGGUCACGGCGCACCAAGGCGACGACGGGUAGCUGGUCUGAGAGGAUGGCCAGCCACAUUGGGACUGAGAGACGGCCCAGACUCCUACGGGAGGCAGCAGUGGGGAAUCUUGCGCAAUGGUCGAGAGACUGACGCAGCGACGCCGCGUGUGGGAGGACGCCUUUCGGGGUGUAAACCACUGUUGCCCGGGACGAACUCGCUUAUUCGUAAGCGUUGACGGUACCGGGUGAGGAAGCACCGGCUAACUCCGUGCCAGCAGCCGCGGUAAUACGGAGGGUGCGAGCGUUGUCCGGAAUCAUUGGGCGUAAAGGGCGCGUAGGCGGCCCGGUGAGUCUUUGGUGAAAGCGCGGGGCUCAACCCUGCGUCGGCCAGGGAUACUGCCGCGGCUCGAGCACUGUAGAGGCAGGCGGAAUUCCGGGUGUAGCGGUGGAAUGCGUANAGAUCCGGAAGAACACCGGUGGCGAAGGCGGCCUGCUGGGCAGGAGAGGCAACCCUUUCAAGCUGACACUGAGGCGCGACAGCGUGGGGAGCAAACAGGAUUAGAUACCCUGGUAGUCCACGCCGUAAACGAUGGGCACUAGGCGCUUGGGGGAGCG